CAAGUACUCCCUCCGUCCAGAAUUACUUGUCAUCAAAAUGGAUGUGUCUAGAACUAAAAUACAUCUAGAUACAUCCAUUUCAAUGACAAGUAUUUUCGGACUGAGGGAGUACAAG
rnacentral:pre_miRNA from 1 species